rfam:Tuber melanosporum whole genome shotgun sequence assembly, scaffold_360, strain Mel28
ACCCCUGUGACGCAGCGGUUAGCGUGUCGUUCUUAUACAGAGUAUUCUCCUAAUUGGGAGAACUUGUAUGCUAGGUUAUGCGAAAGUCGUGAGUUCGAAUCUCACCCGGGGUA